rnacentral:sRNA from 1 species
GUUAAACAAGUGCUUGAAGGCAGUAUGCUUGGUAAAAGUCAUCGCCAUUCUCUAAUCUUGAGUACCCAGGGACACGAUACACUGCGGAAGGCUGCAGGGACCUCUGCCCAGGAAAGCCAGGAUCCAGUAUCUGCCGGAGGAGCCCCACCUUCUGCUACUAUUAUGUUCUUCAGAUGAGUAGAAGAGAGUGGGGAGGGAGAGAGCAGGAAGAAGAAAGGAAGAAUAAUGUCUUGAAAUUGUUUUCUAAGGAUAAUGGUCUCCAGCUUCGUCAAUGUUCCUGCAAAGGACAUGAUGCUGACUUUGAAGAUGCAAGCUUCCACAUCUACAGCCUCAAGGAAACAAAUUCAGCCAACCAACUGAGGGAGCUUUCCUUGUCCUGCCUCAAGAUGAGAUCACAGUCUGCCCAACACCAUGAUUUAAGCCUUGUGACACCUGGUAUGGAAGACCCAAGCUCAGAUGGAAAAGAAUGGUGUUACUGAGACCCUUCAAGAUUCCCAGUGUAAUUCAAUAAAGAAAAGGCAACACAAAGGGGUUGUAUAGAAUUCGCCACAUUAUGGACCCAUGUCAUAGAGAGAAUCCACGGUGCAUUUGUUAGCUGCAUUUAAAUUACAACACUUUCAGAUCCAAGAUUUAUUUGGGAUAAAAAUUUACCUGGAUGCAAGGCUAUUCAGAAUGAAGAUUAAUGAUAUGGUUUGGCUGUGUCCCCACCCAAACUUCAUCUUGAAUUCCCACGUGUUGUGAGAGGGACCUGGUGGGAGAUAAUUGAACCAUGGGGGCAGGUCUUUCUCAUGCUGUUCUCAUGAGAGUGAAUAAGUCUCAUGAAACCUGAUGGUUUUAUAAGGGGGAAUUUCCCUGCACAAGCUCUCUCUCUGCCUUUUGCCAUCCAUGUAAGACGUGACUUGGUCCUCCUUGCCUUCUACCAUGAUUAUGAGGCCUCCCCAGCCACGUGGAACUGUGAGUCCAUUAAACCUCUUUCUUUUGUAAA